rnacentral:rRNA from 1 species
AGAGUUUGAUCCUGGCUCAGGACGAACGCUGGCGGCGUGCUUAACACAUGCAAGUCGAACGAGAGGAGAAGGAAGCUUGCUUCUUUCAAAUCUAGUGGCAAACGGGUGAGUAACACGUAAACAACCUGCCUUCAGGAUGGGGACAACAGACGGAAACGACUGCUAAUACCGAAUACGUUCCUUAGGUCGCAUGACCCAAGGAAGAAAGGGUGGCCUCUACUUGUAAGCUAUCGCCUGAAGAGGGGUUUGCGUCUGAUUAGGUAGUUGGUGAGGUAACGGCCCACCAAGCCGACGAUCAGUAGCCGGUCUGAGAGGAUGAACGGCCACACUGGAACUGAGACACGGUCCAGACUCCUACGGGAGGCAGCAGUGGGGAAUCUUCCGCAAUGGGCGAAAGCCUGACGGAGCAACGCCGCGUGAGUGAUGACGGCCUUCGGGUUGUAAAGCUCUGUGAUCGGGGACGAACGGUCAGCAGACGAAUACUCUGCUGAAGUGACGGUACCCGAAUAGCAAGCCACGGCUAACUACGUGCCAGCAGCCGCGGUAAUACGUAGGUGGCAAGCGUUGUCCGGAAUUAUUGGGCGUAAAGCGCGCGCAGGCGGCUUCUUAAGUCCAUCUUAAAAGUGCGGGGCUUAACCCCGUGAUGGGAUGGAAACUGAGAGGCUGGAGUAUCGGAGAGGAAAGUGGAAUUCCUAGUGUAGCGGUGAAAUGCGUAGAGAUUAGGAAGAACACCGGUGGCGAAGGCGACUUUCUGGACGACAACUGACGCUGAGGCGCGAAAGCGUGGGGAGCAAACAGGAUUAGAUACCCUGGUAGUCCACGCCGUAAAC